UGCCAGCAGCCGCGGUUAGACCGAGAAAUUAAGUCAUAUUAAGAAUGGUAAAAAGACAGUUAGACAUAGUAUUAUUAAUCUAAAGUUUAUUUGAUUUUCUUAUAAAAAAGUAAAAUUUGUAUAUGAGAAUAUAAUUUAGUUAAAAACUGUAAAGUUGAAUCUGUGAUAUCCUGGAGGGAAACUGGGAUUAGAUACCCCACUAUUCCUGGAUGUAAAUCAAAUCUAAAUUUACCAGAGUACUAUGAAUAAUAUAAAAUUUAAAACUCAAAGGACUUGGCGGUGUUUUAGACCAUUUAGGGGAACCUGUCUCAUAAUCGAUAGUCCACGUCAUACCUAACCUUUUUUUGUCUUCAGUUGUAUAUCGUUGUCGUCAGGUAACUUUUUAGAAACUAGAAGUUAGCUAAAAAUAGUAAAUUUAAACGUCAAAUCAAGGUGCAGUUAAUAAAAAGGGUGUAGAUGGGUUACAAUUAUUUUAGUUAUAAUUACGGAAAAUCAUAGGAAUCAGUGAUUCGAAGGAGGACUUAAAAGUAAAUUAGAUUAUAUAAAUAAUUUGAAUAAGGCUCUGAAAUGUGCACACAUCGCCCGUCACUCU
rnacentral:rRNA from 1 species